GAAAGACAACAGUCUGGGUGGAAUCAGAACGAGAGGCUCCAGCUGAACUCUGCAGAUGGAGGGUUCAGGCUGUAGAUGGGCCUUGCCAGCAAGACCGAGCAGCCCCCGAUUGUCGCCUGCCACAGCCUGGCUGCUCUGCAGAGCCAUCAAAUCUCUCCCUCUGGAUGGUGGAAGCCCGGUGGCUGGGCCCUCGUCCUAGGUGAGACCCUCACGCCUCACCUUGAGAUAGAUCCUGGAUGGAUGACCACCCGCCUCGUCCACCAGGGGCUUUUCUGUCUCCCUAUGUUGACCUGGUGCCCGUGUCCUCAUUUAUUACAAAUGAGAGGUUGCUUCCUUUGUCUUCAGGGACUUACUGGGGUUCCCAGGUACUAGCUGCCUAAUUUGUGUCAGAAACUUCACCAUCCAACCCUAAAAAUCUUGCUGAGUCUCUGAAGUGGAAAUGAAGGCUCUGGGGCCUGCAGCUAGUGUGGACCGGGAAGUUGUUCUCCCGAUUUAGCCAGGCCUUUGGGUGGUGGCAAAGGCACAGGCAUUGGGGCAUUUUACUCCAGGGAAACCUGUCCCAGAACUUGUCCUUCCCCGGGGCUGGUGUGACCUAAGGACCUGUCAGCCCCAUCAUGCCAGGCUUUGGCCAAGAUGGCUGUUGCCUGACCUGUGGCUUCCCGGAACCUCUACCUGCUGAAGACCACAUGAUGGAAGACAGAUGAAGAAACGGAGGUGCGGAGCAGAGAAGCGACCUGGUCAAGGAACCCAGUGGCAGAGUCAGACCCCCACCUCCUCACCUGUCCCCAGAGCCUGUGCUCUUAGCCCAGCACAGCUGAAUGGGAUCCCUCCUCAUCCAACUCACCCAAAUACCUUUCAGAAGAUGUAAAGUGGCUUCUCAAAAGGAUCAAAGAGGCCAGGCACGGUGGCUCACACCUGUAAUCCCAGCACUCUGGGAAGCCGAGGCGGGUGGAUCACCUGGGGUUAGGGGUUUGAGGCCAACCUGACCAACAUGGUGAAACCUCGUGUCUACUAAAAAUACGAAAAUUAGCUGGGCGUGGCG
rnacentral:lncRNA from 10 species